UGCCAGCAGCCGCGGUAAUACGGAGGGUGCAAGCGUUAUCCGGAUUUAUUGGGCGUAAAGCGCACGUAGGCGGACUAUUAAGUUAGAGGUGAAAUCCCGAGGCUCAACCCCGAAACUGCCAUUGAUACUGAUAAACUUGAGUUCAGUUGGAGUAGGCGGAAUGUGUAGUGUAGCGGUGAAAUGCUUAGAUAUUACACAGAACACCGAUAGCGAAGGCAGCUUACUAAACUGAUACUGGCGCUGAGGCACGAAAGCGCGGGGAGCGAACAGGAUUAGAUA
rnacentral:rRNA from 1 species